UACGAAGGGUGCAAGCGUUAAUCGGAAUUACUGGGCGUAAAGCGUGCGUAGGCGGUCUUUUAAGUCUGCUGUGAAAUCCCCGGGCUCAACCUGGGAAUGGCAGUGGAUACUGGGAGGCUAGAGUGUGUCAGAGGAUGGUGGAAUUCCCGGUGUAGCGGUGAAAUGCGUAGAGAUCGGGAGGAACAUCAGUGGCGAAGGCGGCCAUCUGGGACAACACUGACGCUGAGGCACGAAAGCGUGGAGAGCAAACAGG
rnacentral:rRNA from 1 species